rnacentral:lncRNA from 1 species
AUUUUAAACUUGUUUAAGUAUUGUUGUUGAUCAUGUUUAUCAGAUUAAUUUUAAUUUUAAAGAUACUGUAGAACGCAGCGGAAGUAUUCGUUCGUACCUUUUUGCGGAAGCGAUUCGCGCAACAACGCGAUGAGCCUGGAUCGUUUAGAUUGAUUCACGUGUCCUCGGAUCGUCCUUGAAUAUCUUCUCACGCUCCACGAACUCGCGGUGGAUCGAACUACAAACGAGCGCGAUCACAAAUCCACCGUACAAGUCCCUCUAGAAUAAUAGGUCAAUGGAGGAUGUGGUUUCUCUCUAUUAUUUUCUUAUUCUCUCUCUUUUUCCGUUCUUUCGUGUAUAUAACGUUAUGUGGGAUCGCCCGCAUAUUUAUAAGGAAUUCCAAAAUCCUAAUGGCGUUAGAGAUAAGGCCAAAUCGGUUAUUAAUUGUUAUCCUAAUAUGACUAGGAUUUAUCUCUAACUAACUUUCCAAUUUGAAAGCGAGAUUAAUUCUAAUCCAAUUAGAUAACAUAACAUCCGUCGGAUCGAACCCGCUUAUGGGCGUACCCGAUUCGAUUUAACCGAAUGCCAACAGAUACUGAUCAUCAAAACUAAAGUACAGUUUAUGA